GACGAACGCUGGCGGCGUGCUUAACACAUGCAAGUCGAGCGGAAAGGCCCUUCGGGGUACUCGAGCGGCGAACGGGUGAGUAACACGUGAGUAACCUGCCCUAGGCUUUGGGAUAACCCCGGGAAACCGGGGCUAAUACCGGAUAUGACCUGGUGCCGCAUGGUGUUGGGUGGAAAGUUUUUUCGGCCUGGGAUGGGCUCGCGGCCUAUCAGCUUGUUGGUGGGGUGAUGGCCUACCAAGGCGAUGACGGGUAGCCGGCCUGAGAGGGCGACCGGCCACACUGGGACUGAGACACGGCCCAGACUCCUACGGGAGGCAGGAGUGGGGAAUAUUGAACAAUGGGCGGAAGCCUGAUGCAGCGACGCCGUGUGAGGGAUGAAGGCAUUCGGGUUGUAAACCUCUUUCAGCAGGGACGAAGCGUGAGUGACGGUACCUGCAGAAGAAGCGCCGGCCAACUACGU
rnacentral:rRNA from 1 species